rnacentral:rRNA from 1 species
CCCUUAGAUGUCCCGGGCCGCACGCGCGUUACACUGAUGCAUUCAACGAGCUUAUAACCUUGGCCGAGAGGCCUGGGCAAUCUUGUUAACGUGCAUCGUGAUAGGGAUAGAUUAUUGAAAUUAUUAAUCUUGAACGAGGAAUUCCUAGUAAACGCAGAUCAUCAAUCUGCAUUGAUUACGUCCCUGCCCUUUGUACACACCGCCCGUCGCACCUACCGAUUGGAUGGUCCGGUGAAGCCUCGGGAUUGUGGUUCUUGCCGCUUUGUUGUGGCGUGACCGCGAGAACUUGUCUAAACCUUAUCAUCUAGAGGAAGGUGAAGUCGUAACA